UACGUAGGGAGCGAGCGUUGUCCGGAUUUACUGGGUGUAAAGGGUGCGUAGGCGGAUCUGCAAGUCAGUAGUGAAAUCCCAGGGCUUAACCCUGGAACUGCUAUUGAAACUGUGGGUCUUGAGUGAGGUAGAGGCAGGCGGAAUUCCCGGAGUAGCGGUGAAAUGCGUAGAGAUCGGGAGGAACACCAGUGGCGAAGGCGGCCUGCUGGGCCUUAACUGACGCUGAGGCACGAAAGCAUGGGUAGCAAACAGG
rnacentral:rRNA from 1 species